GGGCCCUCCCGCGAGAAAUCAGGAGUAUUCGGGUUCCGGGGGGAGUAUGGUCGCAAAGGCCGAAACUUAAAGGAAUUGACGGAAGGGCACCACCAGGAGUGGAAUCUGCGGCUUAAUUUGACUCAACGCGGGAAAACUCACCAGGUCAGGACACGGUAAGGAUUGACGGACUGAAGGCUCUUUCUCGAUUCCGUGGAAAGUGGUGCAUGGCCGUUUUUGGUUGGUGGAUCGAUCCGUCUGGUUAAUUCCGUUAACGAACGAGACCUCGGCACUCCGAAUAGCGCGGCGGACGUCGCGGCCUCCGGGCCGUCUUCCGCACGAGCUUCUUAGAGGGACCGUCCCCCGCCGGGGAAGGAGGUGCGAGGCAACGACAGGUCUGUGAUGCCCUUAGAUGUUCUGGGCCGCACGCGCAUUACACUGACGCGUCCAACGGGUGACUCCCGACCCGAAGGGGCCGGGGAAUCCGCAAGGCGCGUCGUGAUGGGGAUUGAACGUUGCAAUUGUUGUUCACGAACGAGGAAUUCCUAGUAGGCGCGGGUCAUCAACCCGCGCCGAUUACGUCCCUGC
rnacentral:rRNA from 1 species